rnacentral:rRNA from 1 species
GGCGUGCUUAACACAUGCAAGUCGAACGAUGAACUUGGAGCUUGCUCUGGGGGAUUAGUGGCGAACGGGUGAGUAACACGUGAGUAACCUGCCCUGGACUCUGGGAUAACUUCGAGAAAUCGGAGCUAAUACCGGAUAGGACCUUGCACCGCAUGGUGUGGGGUGGAAAGUUUUUCGGUUUGGGAUGGACUCGCGGCCUAUCAGCUUGUUGGUGAGGUAAUGGCUCACCAAGGCGUCGACGGGUAGCCGGCCUGAGAGGGUGACCGGCCACACUGGGACUGAGACACGGCCCAGACUCCUACGGGAGGCAGCAGUGGGGAAUAUUGCACAAUGGGCGCAAGCCUGAUGCAGCAACGCCGCGUGCGGGAUGACGGCCUUCGGGUUGUAAACCGCUUUUAGUAGGGAAGAAGCCUUCGGGUGACGGUACCUGCAGAAAAAGGACCGGCUAACUACGUGCCAGCAGCCGCGGUAAUACGUAGGGUCCGAGCGUUGUCCGGAAUUAUUGGGCGUAAAGAGCUCGUAGGCGGUUUGUCGCGUCUGCUGUGAAAACUAGAGGCUCAACCUCUAGCCUGCAGUGGGUACGGGCAGACUUGAGUGGUGUAGGGGAGACUGGAAUUCCUGGUGUAGCGGUGGAAUGCGCAGAUAUCAGGAGGAACAC